AACGAACGCUGGCGGCAUGCCUAACACAUGCAAGUCGAACGAGACCUUCGGGUCUAGUGGCGCACGGGUGCGUAACGCGUGGGAACCUGCCCUUAGGUUCGGAAUAACUCCCCGAAAGGGGUGCUAAUACCGGAUAAUGUCUUCGGACCAAAGAUUUAUCGCCUUUGGAUGGGCCCGCGUUGGAUUAGCUAGUUGGUAGGGUAAAAGCCUACCAAGGCGGCGAUCCAUAGCUGGUCUGAGAGGAUGAUCAGCCACACUGGGACUGGGACACGGCCCAGACUCCUACGGAAGGCAGCAGUGGGGAAUAUUGGACGAUGGGCGAAAGCCUGAGCCAGCAAGGCCGCGUGAGUGAUGAAGGCGGUAGGGAUGUAAAGCUCUUUUACCCGGGAUGAUAAGGACAGUACCGGGAGAAUAAGCUCCGGCUAACUCCGU
rnacentral:rRNA from 1 species